UACUAAAAUGGAGUCAGAUGAAUUAUUAAAAUGGAGUCAGAUGAAAUAUUAAAAUGGAGUCAGAUUAGAAUUGGAUUUAAAUUGAAUAACUCUACACGCUGAAAAGACCGAACGCGCAAGAAACCUUCAGCCAGCACCGGAUACCUUCCUUGGACCGAGUGCCUGGACCUUACAAAGUGGUGACCCCGACGCGAUCUCCCAAACAGGCGAGUUGCAUCUUUCAGCGCAAUAUGGAUUUGUACCGAACAAGAGGUUUGACCAUCUCUUUCUCCAGCUGCUGUGGUUGACCACUACAAUUCUUUGGAGAACAGAUACCAGGAAGGUGCCUGGUCCCAUCUGCAUCAAACCAGGACAACAGAAUUGUUAGAACAUAACCUGAAAUGUGGGAGAUGGAUGCGAAGACACUUGAAGGGGCCAUUCACACCUCACAGCAGAACAUCACUACACACAUAUCCACAUGGCCUCCCGGAUUAGAACCGGAACUAAAUUUUUGCAACACAGAUUGCUAUAGAUUAGACUCCAUCCAUCUCCCAGACAUGAGUACAGAACACACACCUCCACCAUUGCAUCACCUUAUUUAGACUAUCCAGUCUGUACACUACAAACAGAAGACAAUGAUGGCUUGGAUUACAAAUGUGGUACUCCACUAAAGAUCUAUUGACCAUCUUCACACUGACAGAACCACAUAGCCUCACACACACAGGACAACAGAAUUAAUUACAUUCCAAAAGAUACAACAUAUCUACUAUCUGCAACCAUCUGAAAACUCAUGGAACAACACUCUAACACACAUUUACACGACUAGUCACAGAUCGAUGGCGCAAAUUUUUGAACACAGAGGCAGACGAGCCUUUGAAAUUUAAAAUAUUGAAUCUUUCUGAUUGUUAUUAGGGUGGUUGACAAGCCAGAGGGCCCCUGGUUUCCCAAUACAUCACUAAUAACAAAAAACAUUAUCAAAAUUAUUAAAUGUGAAAUGCCUGCACUUCAUUUCUAUCAAUCAAUCAUAAAAAUAUACAAUUUUACCAAACCAUCAACUGUGACUUAGCCUGCAUAUCACACACACAUGCAUAUCACACACACACACACACACACACACACACACACACACACACACACACACACACACACACACACA
ensembl:lncRNA